AUUGAACGCUGGCGGCAGGCCUAACACAUGCAAGUCGAGCGGAUGAAGGGAGCUUGCUCCUGGAUUCAGCGGCGGACGGGUGAGUAAUGCCUAGGAAUCUGCCUGGUAGUGGGGGAUAACGUCCGGAAACGGGCGCUAAUACCGCAUACGUCCUGAGGGAGAAAGUGGGGGAUCUUCGGACCUCACGCUAUCAGAUGAGCCUAGGUCGGAUUAGCUAGUUGGUGGGGUAAAGGCCUACCAAGGCGACGAUCCGUAACUGGUCUGAGAGGAUGAUCAGUCACACUCGAACUGGGACACGGUCCAGACUCCUACGGGAGGCAGCAGUGGGGAAUAUUGGACAAUGGGCGAAAGCCUGAUCCAGCCAUGCCGCGUGUGUGAAGAAGGUCUUCGGAUUGUAAAGCACUUUAAGUUGGGAGGAAGGGCAGUAAGUUAAUACCUUGCUGUUUUGACGUUACCAACAGAAUAAGCACCGGCUAACUUCGUG
rnacentral:rRNA from 1 species